UCCCUAGCUGGUCUGAGAGGAUGAUCAGCCACACUGGAACUGAGACACGGUCCAGACUCCUACGGGAGGCAGCAGUGGGGAAUAUUGCACAAUGGGCGCAAGCCUGAUGCAGCCAUGCCGCGUGUAUGAAGAAGGCCUUCGGGUUGUAAAGUACUUUCAGUAGGGAGGAAGGUGGUUAAGUUAAUACCUUAAUCAUUUGACGUUACCUACAGAAGAAGCACCGGCUAACUCCGUGCCAGCAGCCGCGGUAAUACGGAGGGUGCAAGC
rnacentral:rRNA from 1 species